AUAGGGAGCAAGCGUUAUCCGGAUUUAUUGGGUGUAAAGGGUGCGUAGACGGGAAAGCAAGUUAGUUGUGAAAUCCCUCGGCUUAACUGAGGAACUGCAACUAAAACUGUUUUUCUUGAGUGUCGGAGAGGAAAGUGGAAUUCCUAGUGUAGCGGUGAAAUGCGUAGAUAUUAGGAGGAACACCAGUGGCGAAGGCGACUUUCUGGACGAUAACUGACGUUGAGGCACGAAAGUGUGGGGAGCA
rnacentral:rRNA from 1 species